CGCCGGAGGACGCCCCGGCCUGAGGUUAGACUGUUCGACGUGCACUGUCACGGGGUGGGGCCGAGGCCUCUGGCGUGACCAUGUCCUCGGAUGGGACGGACCCUCCCCUCAGUGGCUGGAGGGUGAGGAGCAAUGCCAGGUGGGCCGGCCCCUCCCAGACCUGGUCCCCAACCAUCCGGCAGCCUGAGGACGUCAGGGGGGCCACAGCGGCAGGUGGCCCCAUGGCCCGAGGGAGCUCGUGACACCCAGGCUCGUGACACCGGAGCGGGUCACGUGCUGCCUCCAGCCACUCCGACCCACAGUGGGCACUGUGGCUGGCAGCUCCGAGCACCGGGCACUGGCUCCGGCCAGGGGCUCUUCCUCGCUCUAUGGAGCACGAGGCUGAUGCCUGCUCACCAGGGGCCCUGGCCUUCAAGUGUCACCUGGGCAUUCAGCCUGCAGGACGGGCUACAGGGAACAGAGCAAGAAAGAACCAGCAGAGGCAGGACAGGGGAGGUGGGGCCACGGCGGGGUCAGGGGGCGAGCCCAGCCACCCCUGGGGUACAGCCGCUGGCCGCAGCACCGCCAGGGGAGGCAAAGGCGACACAGAGAAUCAACCAGGCGCCGGACAAACAAGCAGCAGGCCGGGCAGGGAGCGAGCUCAGGAGGCGCACACGCUGACCCCGGGCGGGCGGGGGCUGCUCAGGGAAUUUCCAAAACUUGGAACUAAAGCAAACUGUUGAUGGCUCAUCGCUUGGCAUUGCAGGCAGCACGGUGUGACCCACCGCCCCCGGGACCACCGGCCACCACGGCCGCGAGGACCGCCAUGGUUCGCCUUCCCGGGCUCUGUCCAGCUCCGAGCAGACACACCCGUCUCGUCCAGGAGACAACAUAAUUUCUCUGCGCAGAACGGACGGCCCCGAAGACCGUGAGUCCCGCAGCAGGACGGCAGCCAGCAGCCGGGCUCCGGUCGAGCCUGGCCGGGGAUGUCCGCCCCCCGCCUCCGCCGGCCCCUCCACCUUGAGUGCGGUACACGCCCGACACGCUCGUGGUCCGUUUGUGCGGGGUCUUGUUUGUAACUUCUCAAACUGAACUCGACAGGUGCCCAGGGGGACUCACUUGCAGAAGGAACUCGGGCUCGAGCUCACCCCGCGAGCCUCCACCCCCCUAAGCAGGCCGAGGGGGCGGACCCAGGCGGCGGCGGCCCUCUGCCUCGGCCACCGUCUCGUUACGUUGACGUUGUUUAUUUUCCUCCCAGGGACUGCCUUUGUCUCUGGCCGUCGGCCAAGCCUGUCCGUCCAUCUGCAUCCUGUCUAACUCAUGGUCUGGGCCACGUCCCUUUCUCACGGCGAGGACCAGGUUGGGGCAGUCGCCAGGACCGUCGGGCUGGGCUCGGCCAUGCUGUCCAGAGCACCCGAGACCCGAGAGCCAGAAACAGCUCGAGUCCCCUGCGAAGGAAACCAACACUCGGAGACACGGGGCGGUGAGCCCCCUGCCCCCCGUGUUUACUUCCCGCCUGUGGCCGGAGCAUCUGGACAGGGAGCAGCCCUUCCUCACACGGAGGUGGGAUGUUUCCUGCCUCUCAGAGUCUCUCAGGGACCUGUGCCCUCAGGAGCCAAGACGCAGUCAGCAACUGUACAAAUCAAACGCGUUUCGAAUUCCCAGAACGGAAAGACACGGAACCUCUAAUAUUUGUAAUGACCUGGCAUUUAAGGGGGGCGCGGGGGGCGGGGCCUUCUCAGAGAAACCACUCGCUCCCGAGGAGCACGGCCACGCAAUGCCCCAAAUUCGUGCAGUCGGGGGAGCCCCGGAGAAGUCAGGAUGCUUUGGUCCCUUGGGUUAGGAAAAAAAAAAACAACUAGUGUCUUUCCCCUGAUUUAUAAAUCCAGGACAGGUUUUAUUUUGAGAGCUGGAUGUGUUUUCUCGUGAGGAGUAGGAUUUCCCUGAAUUUCCCAAACUACCCUGUUUCCCCGAUCAGAGAUGCUAGCGUUACUUUUCCAUUAUGCUCCAGAUUAUGAAAAAACAUUAAAUUACAGAGUCGACCCCACCGAACGAUUCUGACACACCAAUGUCAAAAUUAAUUGUGUUAGACUUCCGCUGGGGCGUUGCUUUAAAACCCGUCGGGUAGUUAUAACAUCUGUCACCUAAAAACGCGAAACGCACCAAAAAAAAAACACACA